AGUGGUUUCAACGCACAGUACCGGGAACGCUGCACAAGAGGAAGUGAAGAAUAACAUAGUUCAGAGAGAAGGUAAAUACCCAACAAGGGAUUCAACUAUGGCUCCAGCUUUUGUGAAGAGUGUAAUAAAAUCAAGGCAAACAGCUCUGUGUUUUCUGUCUCUCCUGAGAGACAGCAGCUCUGACACAGGGAAGAACACCCUGACAGAGCCUCCAACUCCCCUUUUGUGUGAUACCCUCCCUUCUCCUUGGAGGUUUCCUAGCCAAGCACUGACCAGGCCCAAUGGUGCUUUGCACGCCAUUGCGAUUGCAGCCACAGGUGGCACAGCUGCACAAAGC